GAUGAACGCCGGCGGUGUGCCUAAUACAUGCAAGUCGUACGCACUGGCCCAACUGAUUGAUGGUGCUUGCACCGGAUUGACGUUGGAUCACCAGUGAGUGGCGGACGGGUGAGUAACACGUAGGUAACCUGCCCCGGAGUGGGGGAUAACAUUUGGAAACAGAUGCUAAUACCGCAUAACAACAAAAGCCACAUGGCUUUUGUUUGAAAGAUGGCUUUGGCUAUCACUCUGGGAUGGACCUGCGGUGCAUUAGCUAGUUGGUAAGGUAACGGCUUACCAAGGCGAUGAUGCAUAGCCGAGUUGAGAGACUGAUCGGCCACAAUGGAACUGAGACACGGUCCAU
rnacentral:rRNA from 1 species